UCUCUAUUCAGGAAAGCACUUAAGCCUCUGGGUCAUUGUUAAAAAUGUUAAACAGCAUAAGGCCAAUAACCCAUCCCUGCAGGACCGCACUGGAAACAGACCUGCUCAAUGAUGAUACUCCAUAUUGUGGCUGUGAACAAAGCACGAUUCUUUAUUUCUGUACUUUAACCCACUCCUGGAAUGGGAAUGAUCACCUAUAUCUCUUGCUGUUACUGAAUUUACCAUCUAUUGUAAACACACACUGGUGAAACUGGGGCUCAAUAGUGUAAAGAAGAUGUGUGAUUUUGUAUGUUUAAUUUGUUUUUUAUACAUGGAACACUUGUAGUAAGAAAAAUAAAGAAGAUUCAGAGUCUAGUCCACAUUAUAAGA